rnacentral:misc_RNA from 1 species
CAGUGAAAGGCGCCGACGGAGGAGACAGCGAGAGAUUUCUCAAAGUGUUCAAUUUUAAUGUCAGUGAAGUCUGUUGGGUGCCAAAAUGUUGGUUGGUGUGCAUUGUAAACCAACACUUCCACAAAGCCAAGUGAUAGAACUCCCUCGAAUGCCUCUCUUAUGCUUCGCGAAUCUGAACAAUCGAUACGGAUUGCAAACACCUGCGCUUUCUCUUCUCUAGCUAUCUCAUCAGCAAAUUUUGAUAAUCUACCUAAGUCACGGGCAAGGAUAGCAACGGUGUAGCCUUCGUGGGCGAACUUGCGGGCGAUUGAACGGCCGAGUUUGGGG